GACGAACGCUGGCGGCGUGCUUAACACAUGCAAGUCGAACGGGCCCGCCCCUGUUUUUGGGGGUGGGUUGAGUGGCGAACGGGUGAGUAUCACGUGAGUAACCUGCCCCCUGCUCCUGGAUAACUGCUUGAAAGGGCGGCUAAUACGGGGUGUGCCGGCUGGUCCGCAUGGGCCUGGUCGGGAUAGUUUCAUCUUCGGGUGUUUCGGUGGGGGAUGGGCUCGCGGCCUAUCAGCUUGUUGGUGGGGGGAUGGCCCACCAAGGCGGUGACGGGUAGCCGGGGAGGGAGGGUGGGCGCCCAGACUGGGAGUGAGGGACGGGCCAGACUCCGGCGGGAGGCAGCGGUGGGGGGUAGUGAAGGAUGGGAGGAAGCCUGAUGCAGCGCCGUCGCGUGAGGGAUGGCGGCCUUCGGGUUGGGAACCUCUUUCUGCGGUGGUGAAGGCCCUGUCCGUUGCGGCGGGGUUGACGGUAGCCGGGGAUGAAGCGCCGGCUAACUACGUG
rnacentral:rRNA from 1 species